UACGUAGGGGGCGAGCGUUGUCCGGAGUUACUGGGCGUAAAGCGCACGCAGGCGGUCUGCUAAGUUUGGAGUGACAGUUGGUGGCUUAACUGCCAAAGUGCUUCGAAAACUGACAGACUUGAGGGCUUCAGAGGGACACGGAAUUCCGGGUGGAGUGGUGAAAUGCGUAGAGAUCCGGAGGAACACCAAAGGCGAAGGCAGUGUCCUGGGGAGUACCUGACGCUCAGGUGCGAAAGCCAGGGGAGCGAUCCGG
rnacentral:rRNA from 1 species